GUUGUGAUUUCAUUAAUCGCUUCGGAGCGCGGGCGGUCGCGGCCGUUAAAUCUUUUAUAAGGUUGACCUCGGAUCAGGUAGGGAUACCCGCUGAACUUAAGCAUAUCAAUAA
rnacentral:rRNA from 1 species